AUGGACAACAGCGCGCCGCCGGUGAUCAUCGUUGGGGCGGGGCCGUCGGGGCUGGCUGCGUCGGCGUGCCUGGCUCGGCGCGGGGUGGAUAGCAUCGUCCUGGAGCGGGACGACUGCGUCGGCUCGCUGUGGCAGAAGCGCGCCUACGACCGCCUCCACCUGCACCUCCCCAAGCAGGCGAGCGCGCUCCCCCACCUGCCGCACGACGACGACGCGCCGGCCUACCUCCCCCGCGACCACUUCGUCCGCUACCUCGACGCCUAUGCCGACCGCUUCGCCGUGCGCGCGCGCCUCCGCCUCCGCCGCGAGGUCCGCUCGGCGCGCUUCGUGGACGGCCGGUGGGAGGUGGAGGCCGUCAACCUCGCCACCGGCGAUGCGGAGCAGUACACGGCGAGGUUCCUGGUGGUGGCCACGGGGGAGUUCGACGAGAAGGUGCUGCCCGAGGUGCCCGGGCUGGACACGUUCCAUGGCGAGGCCAUCCACGCCGGCGAGUACCGGUCCGGCGAGGGGAUGCGGGGAAAGGAAGUGCUCGUCGUCGGCUGCGGCAACUCUGGAAUGGAGAUCGCCCUGGACCUGGCCCAGGCCGGCGCCGCGGCCUCCAUCGUCGUCCGCGGCGAGCUCCACCUCAUGACGAGGGAGAUCAUGAACGCGUCCACGGCGCUGUUCGCCUACCUGCCCGUCUGGAUGAUCGACCGGCUGGCGUUGUUCGCGUGCCGCGUCGUGUUCGGCGAUACGGCCAGGCACGGCCUCCGGCGGCCUGACGUUGGGCCCUUCACCAGAAAGAUCCAGAGCAACGUCUACCCAGUCAUCGACGUCGGCACCUACGACAAGAUCAAGAGCGGCCAGAUCAAGGUGCUGCCGGCGAUCACGAGCAUCGAAGGGGACGUCGUGGAGUUCGCUGGCGGUGAGCGUCGCCGCUUCGACGCCAUCGUCUUCGCCACCGGGUACCGCAGCACGGCAAAAAAGUGGCUCAAGGUUCGAUCACUAAUGUCUCAUGCCAAGAAUGAACCAAUUUAA
rnacentral:rRNA from 1 species